AAAGCUCGUCUACAGGUAUUGUAAAAUUUAGCAAUUUGAGAAGGCGAAUUCGAACUAGCGACUGUGAAAUUUCGGGUAUAUUCGAGUUGGGCGCUGGUACUGCGACGACGUGUGCGUACGGUGAGGUUUUUUUUGGUUUACGGAAAAAUGUUACACAACCCCGUUGUUAUGUUUGAUCGAAAUUCAGUCUUGAUUUGCCGAGCGUUGAGUGACGACGUUGCAAAGUGCGUGCUUUCGAGUGUCUAAGUUCACCAGUGUUUUAUGUGAUAUUAUAAGUUUUAUUUGCGUUUAAAAAAUUCGAUACGAGAAAUUCGUCGAGAUUGCGAGACGCGUUGAAUGCGUUUUUUUUUUUGCUCUGGUUUAUUUAUUUUUCCAGUUUUUCCAUAUGUCGUGUAUUGGCCGCCGAGUGGGUUCGUGAACUCGAUUUGUUGUAUUAUACGAGAUAAUAUUUCGCAAUCAGUCGACAAGAUGUGAGAGAAAUAUCGUCGAAUUUGGUGUAAACUCGCAGCAUUGCUUCGGAAAAGUGAAAAUUGCUUACAUAUUCAAAUAUAGGCUAAAUAUUUGACUUGAUGUGUGAUAUUUAGAGACCGACGUAAGCGCAGCGAAAAAUUGUGGCUUUUUCUUUUUUCAUCGGAGGCUGGACCAAUGAGAGGUCAGAAGAGUAUGUGGUGGCAGUGGGUCGAUUGAUGGCUUCGGAGAGCGAUACGACGCUAGACAGCGGAGGCGGAUGUAUCAGCGGUAGCGUUGGUAACGUGAACAGCGGCGGUGUCGGUUCCGUGCCCACCAUAGUCUCAUCCGGAGGGCACCUAGGAUCGGCCAAAUGGAGCGAGACGACCAGCUUAGGGUUCGCCGAGGCCCAAGAUACCUCGUCGGUGAAAGAGGUACGCUUCCCGGCCAAUCCGAUCACACCUAUGCCUCAACACUCGCUCAGCAUGUACAAGAAUUUCUCACGUUCGAUGUCGUCUCUGCCUCCGGAGCCGUUCAUGAUUAUGCGCUCGAAAGCGCUCAAUCGACGGGUCAAGAUAAACGUAGGCGGUGUAAAACACGAGGUGCUUUGGCGAACGUUGGAAAGACUGCCGCAUACGAGACUGGGACGACUGAGAGACUGCAAUACUCACGAAGCCAUCACGGAAUUAUGCGACGAUUACAGCCUGGUCGAUAACGAGUAUUUUUUCGACAGACAUCCGAAAUCGUUCAGCUCCAUAUUGAAUUUUUAUCGCACUGGUAAACUUCAUUUGGUCGACGAGAUGUGCGUGCUGGCGUUCAGUGACGAUCUGGAGUAUUGGGGAGUGGACGAGUUGUACCUGGAGUCGUGCUGUCAGCAUAAGUAUCAUCAGCGUAAGGAGCAUGUACACGAGGAGAUGCGAAAGGAAGCCGAAUCGCUCAGGCAACGAGACGAAGAGGAGUUCGGCGAAGGAAAAUGUGCCUAUUAUCAACAAAUGGUUUGGGACCUGUUGGAAAAACCUAAUACCUCAAUUGCAGCCAGGGUAAUAGCUAUGAUCUCAAUAUUAUUCAUCGUAUUGUCGACGAUCGCAUUAACGCUGAACACGAUGCCGUCGAUGCAGCCAAAAGACGCGUCGACGAAUUUGCCGACGCAACAAGACAAUCCACAAUUAGCGAUGGUCGAAGCGGUUUGCAUAACGUGGUUUACCCUCGAGUACGUUUUGAGAUUCGGCGCUUCCCCCAACAAAUGGAAAUUUUUCAAAGGCGGGUUAAACGUAAUCGAUUUGUUGGCCAUACUGCCGUACUACGUGUCUUUAUUUCUGGUCGAGACGAACAAAAACGCCACCGACCAAUUCCAAGACGUCAGACGUGUAAUACAGAUUUUUCGUAUCAUGCGUAUCUUGAGGAUAUUGAAACUGGCCCGCCAUUCGACCGGUCUGCAAAGUUUAGGAUUCACGUUACGCAAUUCGUACAAAGAGCUCGGUCUUUUGAUGCUUUUUCUGGCCAUGGGCGUGCUAAUAUUCUCCAGCUUGGCGUAUUUCGCCGAAAAAGAGGAACCCGGUACUAAAUUCCAAUCUAUACCGGAAACAUUCUGGUGGGCUGGCAUUACGAUGACCACCGUAGGAUACGGAGAUAUUUACCCUACAACGCCUCUGGGUAAAGUGAUAGGCGGCGUUUGCUGUAUUUGCGGUGUACUGGUGAUCGCCCUACCAAUUCCCAUCAUUGUUAAUAAUUUCGCCGAGUUUUAUAAAAAUCAAAUGCGACGCGAGAAAGCGCUCAAACGUCGCGAAGCUCUGGAGCGCGCCAAACGCGAAGGCAGCAUCGUGUCUUUCCACCAUAUCAAUCUGAGAGACGCGUUCGCCAAGAGUAUGGAUUUGAUCGAUGUGAUCGUUGAUUCUGAAAACGAUAUGCCAAAAUUAAUACCCAGAGCAUCAGUACGAUCCCAUGGUCAAAAUGGCAAAAAAUCCAGUACGAAUAUGGAAUCUAUGAAUCAAGAAGAAGCUACCACUCAGCAACUUUUGGGUGAAAACCACUCUCUGGUUGAUUUAGGAGAACCGUGCAACCAACCGCGUUACCCGCCACAGCCUCCGCCAGCUGCAGCUACCGCCAGUCCGGGUAACGAUACUAGCUGUCCAAAAGGUACCGAGAAAAUAGACGAGUACCCUACUGAGUUUGAAUGUUGCUUUUGCACCACCAAGGACUACAAGCAAUUCGUAGAUGCUGAAAAUCUGAUGCAGUUUCCGAUUAACGAAUCGAGAAAUCCCGUUUGUAUGGAAAUGAGAUCGAUGAGACCGUACCGAGCCGAUUCCUUCCUGAACGGAGGUCAAGAAAUGGGAAGCAUCGGCAGUUCGGAUACGUACGCGAGUUGCAACACGCAACCGUUCAAUUCGCAGGUGGAUCUCACCGAAGAUACGGUUUUCGAUCCGUUAUUAGAUAGUUCGAACGUUUAUAUAAAUCCGUUGCAAUGUCAAAACGCCACCAAUAAAUCAGCUUUUAGUACUUCAGCUUUACGUAGCUUGGGCGCGUCUCCGCUCGAAGAGUCGUACAAAGGGUUCGGCGUCGUGGAUCGCGGCAGUCGAGGCAGCUUGAACGAUGCGAUUACCACAAAAAAUUGGAGGACGCGCUUUCAAAAGGUGAAUAUCGACGAUAACCCAGGACUGAUUGAGUAUACGGAUAAGAGAAGAGGAAAAUCGUUCAUUCCGGGUAGAUCAUUGGCGAAUGCGACUCGAGCGAUCAAUCAACAUUUAUUUGGCUUCCCAACGUUAUCCAAAACCGGUAAAAGCAACAGCAAGACGUCAGCCUCGGCCGACUCGAUAGACAAAUCGACCAUGUCGCCGGAAACGCACCGUCGCUCGAAAUCGAUACUGAAAAAGCACGACGCUAACAACGGCUCUUCGAAUCCGCACCAUCGUAACGGGCCUUCGUCCAAGAACGAUCCGGAAAUGGAGAAAUUAAUAUCGGAUAACAUGUCGGCAGCCAGCGGAUCCGAGUACUCGCCCGGCAAGAGCGCUCCGAUUCUGCGAUCUUCGGCGGCCACCGUCUAUGGCAGACAAGGCUCUCAGUCCAAGUUACCCAUUCAGUUAGUGGGCAUCGCCGGUAACGCGACCAAUUCGGAGGUUGUACUGUUGCAAGAUUUGCUAGGUAAUGCACACACUGCCGCUCCACUUUACAUUUGUCCUCCACCUCCUCCGAUGGAACAAUCGCUAAACGAAGAAAGCUUAUUAUUGCAGCAAAACGAAUCCAAAGGUUAUCCAUCAGUUAAAUACUUAUAGUAUACGUUUUAAUGCAUGUUUUACGUACCUACUUUUAAAUCGUCGUUCUUUUUUUUCUCUAUAUGUUUUUUUUAAAUAUUUUUUUUUUUCUUUUUUAAAUCGGUUAGUUAAUGUGUUAACUUUUCUAGUCAUAUCAUCGUAAGGUUCGUCGUUACAUUCUACGUAAAUAAGGAAAGGAUUUUUUUUUGUUUUUUCGAAGAAGAAAAAAUCGUACUAUUUUUAGUCUUUAAUGUUACGAAAAAAUCAUACCCCCUUACCCCCCUUUACCCCCGUCAUGUUUUCUUAUUGUUUAGGUAAGUUGUUUUUUUGUUUUUGUUUUUUAAUUUUUAUUAUGUAUCAUCUACGUUAUUACGAUUUUCUUGUCGCUUUUUGGUACGAGAAAUUGAGUAACUAAUUUUUUUGUUCGUUUUCAAAAAUCGGGUACGCCUUUCACUCUGCUACCUUAUUGUUUUUUUUUAAAGAAAAAAAGAAAAAUGUUGUUUCCGACCAAAAUAGCGUUAGUAAAAAAGCUCCGAAUAGCCGAGAAAUUGACAUGAAAAUAGUAUGUGUUCCUAUGUUAAAUUUCUGUGAUGAAAUAUUUUACCUACCUUGUAUACCUACCUACCAAGCUACCUUGUAAUUUGAACAAUGAAAAUGUGUACUCUUAUAAAUAAUGGUUUCCUUUUCGUUCUACUCCUCUGUUCUUUUCCUCCUCCUCCUCCUUCUUCUCGUGUAACUACCUCACUGAACGAUAAUGACGAAUUCGAUUCGAAGAGAUAAUUUUCAAAGGUGUGAAUUAGAAACUCUUCUAUGCCUUCUCAGGAUCAUGUAGGUAGGCUAAUUGGCAUUUGUGUUUUAAUGUUUGAAGUUUCGAACCGCUUACAGCGGCGGUUUUAUUAGGCUGGGUUCCUUUUUUUUUUAGCGAGCGAGAUCGAGAUGUUAGGGUUAAAUUUUGUAAUGUAAAUAAGGAAAAUGAGAUUUUUAAAAGUUUUUCGAGUCACAGAGAUGGAAUAUAUUUUUUAAUGUGAUGGACUGAUUGUUUCGUUGGUUAGGAUAAUACGUAGUAGUUGAACGUGUAUAAUGGUUCGAACGAGUUAGGGGUUUUUCGCGAUGUGUCGGUAUCGGUACCGGGUGUCCGAAAAAUUUUGAGCCCAUUGAACUUUUAGUUACCUACGUAAAGUGUUAAUUAUUUUGGCGACUGAAUGUAAAAGAAAAUAAAAUGUUGACCCCCCCCCACCCUUCCCAAGUUGAUACCUUCGAUUUAAAAUGCAGAAUAUUGACCUUCUACCCUUCGGUUUGUUACACCCCUCCGUCCAAAUCGAUUGGGAACACGUUUGAUCCGUUUUGAACAGUUCUGGAGCCUCUAGCAGAUUCUUGAAAGUGUAAUUUUUUUACACAAAUUUUAUCCGAUGAAUUUAGAAAGUUGAAAUUAACUUUCUACCGUGAUUUCGUCAUGCUGAGUCGAUUGAAGGCGGUUUCAAGCCAUUUUGGAGCCUCCAGCCAUAUUUUAGAAAUUCCAGAUUUCCAAAAAAUCGACUCAACGUGUUAAAAUUAGGGUAUAAGGUAGGCCUUGAAGAAUGUUUCAAAAUUUUCAACUUCAUUUGGGAAAAUUUCAACUUUUAAAAAUUUAUUGGAGGCUGCAGGGCUUCCUAAAAUGGUACGAAGCUGUGUCCAAUCGAUUCGUGUGGUUAAAAAUGAAGUAAGUACAUAUCAAAUUCCACCUUUCUAUGCUAAUUUGGUGAAAUUUUAAUUUUUCUUCAUUUUUGACCCAAGUUUGAUUUUUAAAAAUUCACUGAGAAUCGAAAAAUGCGGUUUAGUGCCUAAAAUUUUGACUGGUAAUGUAUUUUUGCAGGUUUUUUCAAUUUAGAUUGGUCAUAUUCAUUUCUAUUUGGAUUCCUCCCUUAUAAUUGGUCGAAAUUGUCAAUCUAUAACAUUGUGAAGUUUUUCCUUUUUUCGCGUUUCAAUUUUCAAGUUUUUUCCUUUUUUUUUACAUAAUUCGAAUUUGAAACCCAGAUUUUGGUUUGAUGAAUCACAAACCAAACCAAAUCACAUCAAACGAAUAAACGCAGUCCGUAACAGAACCCGAACCCAGUAUUCCAAAAACCAUGCGCUGACUCUGUAGGUUGGUAGAGGUACCUUACCAACUGUAGUUUAAGUCUUUGCCGCUAGAGAUCGAAGCGGCCACCCUUUUACUUCUUUUUCUACCGGCGGUUGUUUUGAUUUUGAUAAUCAGCUGUUUCUUUUCAUGGAGCCGCCUCCUGCAAUUUUAUUGAUUUCUUAUAUCUUAUUCGAUGACUAAUGCAAUGCGUUUGUUUUUGUUCCUUGAAGUGAAUCGCGUUUGAAAAAACAAAAAUUUGACCUGCUAACCUCACCACCAAGAUGAGCCAGCCAAGUGCCUCUACAUUGGAUUCAACCACAAGAGCCUUAGUUGCAGAUGAUCAUAGUAUCUCUCACUUGUGGACCAUUAAAAAUUUCAAACAAUUCCAUCGUAAAGUAGAAAAAAAUAUGUUUACUUCGUCUGUAUUCAAAGAUUACACACAUCCCGAAUACAAGUGGAAUUUGCAAUGGUAUAUCAAGUGGUCAUCGAAGCCUGAACUCAAUGAUUAUUUCGGAGUACAUUUGUCUCUCCUUACCACCACCACUGCUGAUGUACUAGCUGAAGUAAAAUUUUCUCUAUUGGAUGCUGAGCACAAGGAAGACAAUGUUUUAAAAUUCUCCAAAGUGUUCAACUCUCACAAUAAGGCGGACAUUUGGGCAUAUUCGAAAUACACUUCGAAGAAAAAAUUACUAUACCCUAAUCCUAGCGAGAAAUUAUUCAUCGACGACACAUUGAAGAUUUUCUUCGAAUUGAAAUUCGCUCCAAAAAAUAGUGCAACUACUGAAACCGUGCAAUUACAGGGUCGAGGUUUUGCAGAUGUUACAUUUUCAGUGGAUGGCAAGAGUUUCGAUGCUCAUAAACGUGUUUUAGCAGCUCAAAGUCCUGUUUUUGCCACCAUGUUCAAACAAGACAUGCGAGAAAACAAACACAGCACAGUAAAUAUCUCUGACAUCAGUCGUAAAACAUUUGCAAACUUUUUAAAGUACUUUUAUACAGAGAAGAUCUCAACAAAAGAUGCAGAAAUGGCGCGAAAUUUAUUCAUUGCAGCUGAUAAAUAUGGUGUUGAUGGUCUGAAAGCAGUUUGUGAACCAAUAUUGUGGGAGGAUCUGGCUAAGGAUUUAUCAGUAGAGAAUGUGAUCUCUUUUUUGAUACUGGCUGAUAAAUUUCGGGCAAAAGAAUUGAAAAAACAAGUUGCAUUCUAUAUCAAGAUCCACCCUUCAAUCAUGACAACUCAAAGAUGGAAAUGUGAGAUUUUGGCUCGUCCUCACUUAUUUGAUUAUGUGAAAAGUGUAGUUGUAGAGCCAGAUCCAGAUGAUGAAUUUUUUUGUUUGCUAUUUAUUGCAUUGUUUUAUGUUGUGGUUUUCAUUUUUUUACUGUUCAACUUCCAAAACCUCCGAUAACUCGAAGUAAAAUUUUGGAAAAAGACAAGAAAAAACCUCUGUAAGUCGAACGUUGCCAACGUUUUGCCUCUAUAACUCGAAUUUCUAGUUGAAAACACUUGUAAAUUUGAAUCUGAUUGAUACAUAACUCUUUCACAUUCACAUAUAGUGGUUAUCUUCAAUGGUACCUUUUACCUAUUGUACAAUCUCAUUCCAUAAUCCAUACUAUAAUCUCUUCGACCACUACGUGUUUCCAUUUCAUUCUAGUAAAAAAAAACACUUACCUUAUCUAAUUCAAAACUUUGCUAACUCAAAAUAUACCAAAAUUAACCUCUAUAACUCGAACUCUGAUAAUUCGAAGUCAACUCCUUCUCCCUUCAGCUUCAAGUUAUCGAGACUCCAAUGUACCUCCCUACUGCCUCAUUUUAUCACAAAUGACGCCCCCCCCCCAAUUUGGUCGAAUCAAAUUUCUUAUCUCAAAUUUAUAAAACUUGAGCAUUCACUCUGUCAAAAAUUGUUGGGAAUAAUGGUUUUGUCCAAGUUUGGUGUUGAGAUGUUACCCAUUGUUGGUUAAUGUAAUUAUUUUGUGUAGAUACCUUUUUAGAUACCUUGCCUCAAGUUAAAUUUUUACUCUAUACUGCAUAUCUAAUGUUUUAUACAUUUACACUUACCUAUGCUUCUAAUUCAAUUUGAUCAGUUCAUUUCAAUAAUAGGUAAUAAAAUUUGAUCACUUCAGAUUCCUUUGUUCACAUUGAUUUUUUUAAAAUGAUGAUGGGAAGUAAUUUUUUGCAGGACAGAAAAGGGUGCCAACAUUACAAACAUUUUUACAUUCAAUUCAUAGACAUAGAAUUUUUUCUAAUUUUUUAAUUAGUGUUAACAUUAUUGAAGAUGGUUAAAAGGGAUCAUAAUUUUUUUGUUGGAAAUCAAUUUCCCUUCCAGAUCACCAGAUGACAUUUUUCUAACAUUUCACAAAAUUUAGCAAGUAAAAAAAGGUGCACAAUCUCAUAUAGGUACACAGUACUUGCAGUUUUUCAUUUUGGAUCAAAGAAAUACCUACAGAUUGAGAAAAAUUCAUUCUGUCAUAGAAAAUCUGCUAUGUUGUUAAAAUAUCUUGACUGAAAUCUCACAAUAGGUAUGCUAUACCUACAUUGGUACUCGGAUAGUGUAAGUCUGCCUUACCACCCUCUAUCAAGUUUCACCCUAUAACCUUGUGGUAGUUGUGUUCCAGCAGACCAACUCUAGCAGCUGAUUAGUGAUUGUGAGAUGAAAUUAGUUUCACCAUACACCACCAGAGGACCAACCCUUAGUAUACUAUGUAGUUCAUGUUGUAGUUUUAUGAUAGCCUAGUGAUGAUAAUAGCUUGAUAACAGCCUCACACUUUUUUCUACUGUAACAUUUAAUAUUCAAAUUAAUCGGAUUAUUUAUUAGAAUAUUGUGAUGCUGGGUGUUGAAUGAAUUUCCAACUAUAGGCUAUCUAUUCCUUUCACAUUUGUUGUGUGCAAUUAAUUGAACUGUAUUUGAAAAAAUAUCUUUACCAUCUGUAUACUUAUCCAUUCUACCAUCAAGAUGAGCCAGUCACCUCAAUCCCCCGCAUCGCCACAGAAGAAAAAAAACACCUUAAUCGUGGACGAUCACUGCAUCACGGAUGUCAACUGGAUAAAUACCUCGUAUCUAUGGACUAUAAAACAGUUUGAAAAAUAUCAUUGUAUAGUAGGAAACAAUCUGGUAUCGCCAACAUUUAGCUCUGCUGCACAUCCCAAAUAUAAAUGGACUUUAACCUGGAAGAUGCCAACUUCUGAAGAUGAUGUUAAUUUCAAAUUACUACUAACUACUCUUGUCCCGGAACCUGAUACUGAUUGUGUAGGCCUAGUAAUUAAAAUAAAAUUCGCUCUGUUGGAUAAUGAGCGAAACGAAGUAUUUGUUCGUGAAUUUUCGGUAGUAUCGAAAGAUUAUAGGGACGCUGGUGGUGAAAACUUUAUUGAAAAAAAAACUUUGUUAGAUCCGAAUUCGAGCCCCAAGUUCCUUCCUGAAGAUACGUUGAGACUUUUCUGCGAGCUUAAAUUUGCUACUUCGAAGAGUUACUAUGCUGAAUCAAUGCGAUGGCUAGGAGCAAAAUCUGCUAUUUCUGAUAACAGUUUGUCAAAAAAUUUAGAACGUUUUCUGCGUAAUCCAGAUUUUAUAGAUGUGAAAUUCUCAAUUGGACGUAAGAAAUUCGGCGCUCAUAAAUGUAUCCUAGCAGCUCGUAGUCCUGUUUUUGCGGCUAUGUUUAAACACAACAUGCGAGAAAAUCUACUCAACAAGGUGAAGAUCUCAGAUGUGCGGUCUGAUGUGUUCGACGAAUUUUUAAAAUGCUUGUAUACAGGCAAGACCUCGGCAAAUGCAGCGAUGGCGGUAGAGUUACUCAUUGUAGCUGAGAAAUAUCAAGUUGAUAGUAUGAAGCUGCUUUGUGAAGACAUAUUAUUGAAAGAGUCGAAAAUGGAAAACCCUAUCCGUAUGUUAUGUCUGGCUGAUAAAUAUGGGGCUGAAAGAUGGAAAAAACAUGUUAUAGCUCAUAUCAAAACCCAUCCUGCUGUUUUGACGACUCAAAUGUGGAAAAAGGUUAUUUUGGAAAAUCCUCGCUUAUUCGAUGAUGUGAAUGGAGUUGAGUAAGGCGAGGGCCAUAUUCAGUCGCGGAUUGGAGGUAUGGGGGGGGGCAGGAUCAUGUCACGUAAUCAAAAAACCAACAUAUGUUCCUAAUUAUUUUGCAUUGUGCUAUUUUUUAAUAAUCAUUAAUUAAGUAUUUUCCCCUCUACUUUGUAACGUUCUGUACGCCUAUUUGAUGCAUAGGUAUAUUUCUAAUAAAAACAUAAUUCAAAUUUGACUACAAAUAUUUUGUUUCUUAUGCAUUUUUUGAUGAGUUUUAUCAUCAUGUGAGUAAGGUGAGUCGUUUUCCAAAUUUUUACUUGAAAUUUGAUGGAACUGGGCAAAAAAUUAUGACCUAAUUUUACGUAUUAAAAUUUUGCAAAAAGUUCAAAAAAUCUAUAUCAAAACUUGUUUGGAAGAUUCUUGAAAAAUUUCAAGUUCAAAAUUUACUGAUGAUUUUUGGGAUUUAAAAAGAAUGGCAUACUUCAUUUUACGCUCAAAAUUCUUCAAAAUGGCUCAAAAAUGAUUUCGUUGCAAUAUUUAAAUCACUCGCCGAAUUUUAAUACCUAUAUUUUGAGAAGUCACGUGACACUUUUUCAAAUGUUGUGAAAAUUACAGGGAUGUCUAGCUAGCCAAUAGCCAUUAGCCAUUAGCCGUUAGCUUAUUGAAUUUUUGACGUUUAGCCAUUAGCCAUUAGCCAGCCAAUCAAGAAAAAAUUUAGCCAUUAGCCAGCUUUAGCCAAUUGAUUUUGGCUAAAAAUGAUUGGCUAAAAUUGAAAAUAAUUAGGUGAGGAAAUGGGUUUCCUGUGGGUAAAAAAAAUUAAAAUUUUAAAAUUCGUAAUAAAAUCAAAAGCAAAAGACCAAAAAAGUAGUUUGACAUUGGCGGUUCCGGUUUUUUUUUCUGAAUUUUUUUCAAUGAUCGUUGUGUUCCAGAAAAUUAGUGAAAAAUCAGUUUAUGAAUAUAAUCAAAUAAUGAGUGAAUGCGAAUAAUUGUGAUUCACGUUUGUGAAAUAAUAAUCAUUUCCUAAAACUAUAAAUAAUAUCUAUAAUGGGAAUGUGCUCAUUUAGAGGAGUAUUUAGAGGGGUCACUCGAUUUUUAAAAAAUCAUAAAAUUAGCCAGCUAAUAGCCAGCCAAUAGCCAGCCAAUGAAGAGACAUUAGCCAAUAGCCGUUAGCUUAGCCAAAGCACUAAAUUUUUUUAGCUUUAGCCGUUAGCUUUAGCCAAUCCCAUUGGCUAGACAUCCCUGGAAAAUUAUUACCCAAUGUUGGAUUUGAAAUUCACCGAAAUAUUUAAUUUUUUUGAUAAUUUUUAACCCCUUUCGUUAGAUAGCGUGACAUUUUUUUCAAACAAACUGAAAGUCAUGACUAAAUUUUGGGCUGAAAAUUCUUCUAAGUCGCUCAAAACAAUAUUUUCGUCUCGGUAUUUCGAUUUUUCGCGAAACUUAAGCUUAUUUUGAGAAGCUGCUUGACAAAUUUUUCAAAAAAUUCCAAAAAAUAUCUAUUGCUUGAAAAUACAUUUUGUUAAAGUAUUUUAAUUCCUUGUAAAAUUUUAGCCCACUUUGAUAGGUUGCGUUACAGACCAACUCUUCUUCAAGUAAACAUCUUUUAAGAACGAAUUUAAUUCACUUGUUUUGAAACAUUUUUAUAGCAAUUGAUCUGUUUACAAUCGAAUCGAUCGAAUUGAUUGAUUUCUAGGUGAAUCAUUCGAAAGCAAUUGCUUAAUUGUUGGUGAAUCAUUCGCGAAUUAAUUGAAUAAUUUUUUAAUGAAUCAUUCGCGAACGAAUUGCAUAUUUUUUGGUGAAUGCUUCACUAACGAAUUGAAUAUUUUUCGGUGAAUCAUUUGCGAACGAAUUGAAUGAUUUUUGUUGAAUUCUUCACGAACGAUCGAACGAAUUGAUUAAUUGUUGGUGAAUCAUUCGCGAACGAAUUGCAUAUUUUUUGGUGAAUCAUUCACGAACGAAUUGAUAAAUUUUUUAAUUUAAUGAAUCAUUCGCGAACGAAUUGAAUAUUUUUUAUUAAAGUUAAAAAAAAAUCAUUUAGAAAAAAAAACCAAGUAUCAAAUUUUAGAGUAGCAAAAAGAAAGAAAAAUAACACAUUUUGACUUGAUUAUAAUUGCACGUUAAAAACACAUCGACACAACGUUUCGGCACACGGUGCCUUCAUCAGGUGUACACUAAGACUAACUAGGUAUAUCUAAUAAGUGAAAAUACGUACGACGAAAUAGCAAGCAACGAGAUAAAUUAUUGGUCAUACUUGACAUAUUUAUCCACAUUUGAUACUUGGUUUUUUUUUCUAAAUGAUUUUUUUUUUAACUUUAAUACUGUGUUGGCUCUCAGUCUUAAAUCUUCAGGAAGACAUGGUCUAUAAGUGGAUUUACGAGAAAUAUGGCUCUACAGUCAAACGAGAUGUCAGCAACAUCGUGGAUAAAUAUGUCAAGUAUGACCAAUAAUUUAUCUCGUUGCUUGCUAUUUCGUCGUACGUAUUUUCACUUAUUAGAUAUACCUAGUUAGUCUUAGUGUACACCUGAUGAAGGCACCGUGUGCCGAAACGUUGUGUCGAUGUGUUUUUAACGUGCAAUUAUGAUCAAGUCAAAAUGUGUUAUUUUUCUUUCUUUUUGCUACUCUGAAUAUUUUUUGGUGAAUCAUUCGUGAACGAAUUGAUCAACUGUUGGUGGAUCAUUCGCGAACAAAUUGAAUAUUUUUUGGUGAAUCAUUCACGAACGAAUUGAUUAAUUUUUUAAUUUCAUGAAUCAUUCGCGAACGAAUUGUUCAAUAGGUUAGUUACUGAAUAAUUCGCGAACGAAUUGAAAUUUUGGUGAAUCAUUCGCGAACGAAUUGAUUCGUAUACGUGACUCGUUCGCGAAUAAAUCGAUUUAUUUACUCAAUUUUUGAUAAAAAAUUCACGAACGAAUUGAUUAUUUUGUCUGAGUGGCUCGUUCGCGAACGAAUCGAUUCAUUUACUCAAUUUUUGGUGAAUCUUUCACGAACGAAUUGAAUAAUUUUUAGUGAAUCAUUCCCGAACGAAUUGAAUAAUUUUUCAAUAAAUUGUUCGCGGACGUAUUGAAUAAUUUUUAAUGAAUCAUUCGCGAACGAAUCGAAUAUUUUUUGGUGAAUUAUUUACGAACGAAUUGAUUAGUUGUUGGCGAAUCAUUCGCGAACGAAUCGAAUAAUUUUCUAUCGAAUCAUUCACGAACGAAUUCAAUGAUUUUUUAAUGAAUCAUUCGCGAACGAAUUGCAUAUUUUUUGGUGAAUCAUUCACGAACGAAUUGAUAAAUUUUUUAAUUUAAUGAAUCAUUCGAGAACGAAUUGAUUAAUUUUUCAAUGAAUCAUUCGCGAACGAAUUGAAUAAUUUUUCAAUGAAUCAUUCGCGAACAAAUUGAUUAAUUUUUUACGAAUCGUUCGCGAAUGAUUCGAAUUUUUUUUGAUGAAUCAUUUGCGAACAAAUUGGUAAAUUUUUUAAUUCAAUGAAUCAUUCGCGAACGAAUUGAAUAUUUUCCGGUGAAUCAUUCGCGAACGAAUCGAAUAUUUUUUGGUGACUCAUUCGCGAACGAAUUGAAUAUUUUUCGGUGAAUCAUUCACGAACGAAUCGAUUGAUUUGUUGAUGAAUCAUUCGCGAAUGAUUUGAAUAAUUUUUCAAUGAAUCAUUCGUGAACGAAUUGAAUUUUUUAGUGAAUCAUUCGCGAACGAAUCGAAUAUUUUUUGGUGAAUCCUUCACGAACGAAUCGAUUAAUUGUUGGUGAAUCAUUCGCGAACGAAUUGCAUAUUUUUUGGUGAAUCAUUCGCGAACGAAUUGAAUAAUUUUUCAAUGAAUCGUUCGCGAAUGAAUCGAAUAUUUUCUGAUGAAUCAUUUUCGAACAAAUUGAUAAAUUUUUUAAUUUAAUGAAUCAUUCGCGAACGAAUUGAUUGAUUUUUUAAUUUAAUGAAUCACAGAAUCAUUCGCGAAGGAAUUGAUUAAAAUUUUCAAUUUAAUGAAUCAUUCGCAAACGAAUCGAAUAUUUUUUAGUGGAUCAUUCACGAACGAGUUGAUCAAUUUGGUGGUGAAUCAUUCGCAAAUGAAUUGAAUAAUUUUUUAAUGAAUUGUUCGCGAACGAAUUGAAUAUUUCUAGGUGAAUCAUUCGUGAAUGAAUUGAUUCAUAAAUAAAAGCAUUGAUCAAUUUCAUUGGCGAAUAAUUCCAUUAGCCAAUGGUUCAUUCAAAAACUUAAUCAAUUCGUUUAUGAAUGAUUCCCUUAAAUGAAUUAACACUCUCUCGAACAAUUCACUGAGAAAUGAAUCAAUUUACAGGUAAACAAUUCGUUUGAAAGCAGAUCAACUUGUUAAUAAACGUUUCGUUAGAAAUGGUGGAGGCUUUUUGUGAGAUUUCAAGUUUCAUUAAAAUCAGAUCAGCCGUUUUGUAGGUAAUGAAAUGAGUUUUUAAAAAAUUUUGAAAAAAAAAUUUGUCACUCGAUAAACUUGGAAGCUUUGAGCUUUUGAAACAUGAUGAUGAUGGCGAAAUGUCCGGCGCAAAAGUCUUCUAAAAUGCUUUUAAAAUAUUGUUUUCAAAAUACCUCGUAUUUCUCUGGGAAUUUUAACUCAUUUUAUCACUUUGGGCUGAAAAUUCCUCAAAAGUGCCCAAAAAACAUUUUAAUCGAAAUAUUUGAAUUUCUAGCGAAAUUUUAACCCAUUUUGGCUGGUCACGAGGUUACUUUUAACUAAUUCAAUUUCUUCUUGAACAUGGCUGGGAAGGGGUGAACUUCUGCUGAAAGCUCCUGAAUUGCUCAUAAACAGCGACAACCUAUUAUGGAAGUGGACUUUAUCACACAAAUCGAUUUAUACUCGUAGAUUAUUCUAACCAGAUUUUUUCCUCGUUCAGUGUCAAAAAUUUUAGCCAAAAAUUGAAAAAUCAACUUCGUCAGCUGGAAAUCUGGUUGUGAGAUGCAGGUGACUGUUCUCGAUGGAAGUUGGCAGAUUUCAAACGAUUCGUUUCAGAAUCAUAAAAAAUUCUGUAAAAAUUCCCUCUCUUCACCCUUCCUCACGUACCAAUUUAAAUACCGACACAAAUCAGCGAAAAAUCAACCUAUCUCGUUCGAACUAAUCUACAGAUAUUUUGAAUGGUUCAGCUCGCUAUAAAAAAUAUCGAUAUUUACUAUAAUGGGGACACCGACCGACGCGGAUCUUCCAUGGUCUUCGUCGUAUAGUGUUGAAAGUUGAAAUGAAAUCAAAGGGGUGAAAAAAAUUACACCAUGUUUUCCUUGCGCCCAUGCCCGGCCGCGUCUGUGUCAUCCGCAUUGCAUUUCUUUUCGCGUAUAAAUGGCUUUAAAAUACGGCUAAUUUUUUAUUUUUAUUUCCUCGUCGUCGACCGAAUGUGUACUUAUACUAUACGUAAUGUCUGCAUUGGACUACAUAAACGCACACACUAUAAUGUACUAUAAAUAUGAAACAGCACAAUCGUGAAUUUUUUCGCUUUCACAAGUCUUUUAUAAAAAUGUACUUCGAUUCACGCUCCUUGAUGAUUUUCUUUUCGUGAGAAUUUUGUAUAUAGGCCCUUUUUUUUUUUUUUGGGAGGGGAAAUUAAUCGCGUACGUUACAAUCUCGUGUAAUGCUUAUGUCAAUUGAUUUCGCGUGUAGACUAUACUUAUACUAUACCUACGAGUAUAUUGGAACAAACACGAAAUUUAUUGCGCUUAUUUUUAUUUAUUUUUUAAUAUUUUUUCUGAGUUUUUGUUCCGAGAUUACAAAAUUACUUAUACUAUUAUCAUUUGUUACCUUAAUGAGUUACCUUGGUACCUGCGGUAGUCGAGAAACCGUUUGGGUACUUGAUCUAAGUAUUUUGUUGGACCGCCGCCGAUGACAAUUGACACUUGACAGAUUCGAGUACACCUAUAGCAGAAUAAAAAAUACCUAAAAUGUAAACGAGUUAUUGUAUUAUGUCAAUUAAAGUUAAAAAAAAAAAUCGAAAAUAAAUCGCGUGUAAUGUAAUUUGUAGGAGGGUCAUUUCGUAUCAGAUUAGCCUAUUUUUGGGUUUAGGUUCCCCAAAUUUUCCUCAGAACUCCUUUAUGGGUUUCUUUGUGUAUUACGAAAGACAGAAAAUCGUCAUCGUUGCCCCCUCCCCGGACUCCCCUUUGGAGCGACUGGGUGGGAUUAUUUUUUAUUCAGCAGUUGAAAUUUCGAAAUUUUUGUCACGUGGUUUGCAAGAUUAUGAGAAAAGUGAAGAGGAGGGGGGAGCGGAGGGGGUAAGCAUCAAAAUUUUGGUCAAAUGUAAAAAAAGGUGAAAUAUCGUGUGACAUAUCGUUGUAUACGUUUUCGCGACCGCUGAAUACGAUUAUCAAAUCAUUUUUUUGAUCCGACCCCCCCUCACGCCUCCACUGACCCCUAAAAUUUUCUGAAAAUUGAAAAAAUCGUGUGACGUAUGUUUUAUUAGGUUUUCGGGGGCGCUGAAUACGAAUAUGAACUCAAUUUUUUGAUUCGACCCCUCGAAAGUCCUUCAUGGGCUCGAAAACUUUCUUGGCAAUUGAAAUCAAAGUGUAAAAAAAUGUCAGAUGUCGAGUGACGUAUCGUUUUGAACGUUUUCAGGAACGCUGAAUACGAAUAUUGACUCAUUUUUUGAUUCAACUUCCCCCUCCUCCCCCUACGCCAUCACUGAACCCUAAAAUUUUCUGAAAAUUUGAAAAAUCGUGGGACAUAUGUUUUAUUAGGUUUUUGAGGGCGCUGAAUACGAAUAUGAACUCAUUUUUUUGAUUGGACCCCCUCCAACGACCCCAUUGUUCCCUCCAACCUUUCUGGAAAUUGAAAAAAUCGUGUAACAUGUGGUUUAUUAGGUUUUUGAGGACGUUGAAUGUGAAUAUCAACUCAUUUUUGUGAUUUGACCUCCUCAGAACUUCCUAAUGGGACCACAAAGGAAGAAGUAUUGAAAAAAUGGCCGACCCCAAGUACAAAAAACUUUUUUUUUCAAAAAAUUUCAGUAAAUGUGAUGUUGAGAAGAGGAGUCAAAUUAUGAGAAUAAUUCUCUCAACGUGAUCAGUCCAUCUAAACACCUAAUAAAUCGUACGACGCAGAAUUUUUUCAAUUUUUGGGAAGCUCUAGUGGCCAAUGUGGGAGUUAGAGGCGCUGAAUCUAAAAAACAAGCCGAUGUUCGUAUUCAGCUGACCCAAAUACCUUAUAUAAACCGUGUGUUACGCGACUUCUUCAAUUUGUAGAAAAUUUGAGUCCAAUGGAAGGCUUUAUGAGGGUCAAAUCGAAAAAAUGAGCUGAUAUUCUUAUUCAGUCACUUUGAAAACCUAAUAAACCAUAUGUCACACGAUUUUUUGAAUUUUCAGAAAAUUUGAGGGUCAGUGGAGGCGUCAGGGGGGUUGAAUCAAAAAAAUGAGUUAAUAUUCGUAUUUAACACCCUCGAAAACCUAACAAACCAUAUGUCACACGAUUUUUUGAAUUUUCAGAAAAUUUGAGGGGCCAGGGGAGGCGUUAGGGGGGUCGAAUCAAAAAAAUGAGUUCAUAUUCGUAUUUAACACCCUCGAAAACCUAACAAACCAUAUAUCACACGAUUUUUUGAAUUUUCAGAAAAUUUGAGGGGCUAGUGGGCACGUCGGUGAUGGGGGGGGGGUCGAAUCACAAAAAAUGAGUUCAUAUUCGUAUUUAACGCCCUCGAAAACCUAUUGAGCCAUAUGUCACAUGAUUUUUUGAAUUUUCAGAAAAUUUGAGGGGACAGUAGUGGGGGUGUCGGGGGGGAGGUCGAAUCAAAAAAAUGAGUUCAUAUUCGUAUUCAACACCCUCGAAAACCUAACAAACCAUAUGUCACACGAUUUUUUUGAAUUUUCAGAAAAUUUGAUGGGCCUGUGGAGGCGUCAGGGGGGGUUGAAUCAAAAAAAUGAGGUUAAUAUUCGUAUUUAACACCCUCAAAAACCUAACAAACCAUAUGUCACACGAUUUUUUGAAUUUUCAGAAAAUUUGAGGGGCUAGUGGGGACGUCGGAGAUGGGGGGGGGGUCGAAUCACAAAAAAUGAGUUCAUAUUCGUAUUUAACACCCUCGAAAACCUAUUGAGCCAUAUGUCACAUGAUUUUUUGAAUUUUCAGAAAAUUUGAAGGUUCAGUAGUGGGGGUGUUGGGGGGGGGGGGAGGUCGAAUCAAAAAAAUGAGUUCAUAUUCGUAUUCAACGCCCUCGAAAACCUAAUAAACCAUAUGUCACACGAUUUUUUAAAUUUUCAGAAAAUUUGAGGGACCAUGUUGAGCGUCGGGGGGGGGGGAAGGUCGAAUCGAAUAAAGGAGUUCAUAUUCGUAUUCAACGCCUUCAAAAACCUAACAAACCAUAUGUGACACGAUUUUUUGAAUUUUCAGAAAAUUUGAAGGGUCGGUAGUGGGGGUGUCGGGGGGAAGGUCGAAUCAAAAAAAUGAGUUCAUAUUCGUAUUCAACGCCUUCUAAAACCAAACAAACCAUAUGUCACACGAUUUUUUGAAUUUUCAGAAAAUUUGAGGGGGCAGUGGAGGCGUUGGGGGGUCGAAUCAAAAAAAUGAGUUAAUAUUCGUAUUCAGCGUACCUGAAAACGUGUAAAACGAUAUGUCAUUCGAUAUUUGACAUUUUUUUCCAUCUUGACCAAAAUUUUGGGGCUCCAUACCCCCUCCUCCGUUUCGAGAAUUCCAUAAUAAAAAAUUCGUUGAUGUAAAUAUCAUCAUUGAAAUGUACCCUUCCUGAAUUAUUUUCGAUUUUUUAAAAAUUAAAGCUCCAAAAUUUGGCAAGCUUUUGAAAAUCCAGCUUUGAAAAAAAAGCUCAACUUGAAAGUUUCGAAAAUUUUGGCAAAUAUUUCAACAAGCGAAUAAAAAAUUCUCCCCUAUCCGCUCUAUUUGCCCCAAGAAGGGAUGGGACGACAAUGAUGACUAGUUUUCUUUUUUUCUAACGCAAAAAACCUACAAUUUCAAUCGAAAUCGUAGAACCUGAACCCAAAAUGUGACGGAUUUGACUCAAGUCAGAAUGACCCAGUGGGAAGAAAAUUGAAAACCAAUCGAAUUAAUUCUCCUGUAAUAAAACUAAACACCUCCGUAAUUUUCCAAGUAUGGGAAAGAAAAAGAAGGUAACAGGCAAGUUUUUUUAAUGCACGCGCGAACAAUGCGUAAAAAAGAAUCCAUAUACCUACUUAUAAAAUAAUACUUAUACCUAUCUAUUUGUAUGUAUUGAGUUUAUAUCAUUUUUAUUUUCUUAUCCGAUGGUUAAAAUCAUUCGCAAUAUUUACAUCUAUCGAAAGAUGAACAUGCACCUUUUUCUUCUUGAUUUUUCGUUUUGUAUAAAUUUCUUUUUUUUACCAAAAAAAAAAAAACAUGCUUAUGAUUUAUGAUAUUGUCAUUGUACUAUUUUUUUUUCUAAAUGAUAUUGUUUUUACGUAAUUUUGUAAUAUAAUAUGAUAAGAAUUUUUUCUAUAUAAGCAAUUGCAAUAUUAUAAAAAUGUGGUGUGUAUAAAGUUAUAUACAAAAAACCCUUGUUUAAAAUUUCGCUCUGGCUGUAACUGCUUGAAAAUUGAAGAGCACCCUCUUUAUAAAUAACGCAUUGUUCACUGGCAUUUAAACGAUACUUGUAUAGUGUAAAUUUUUUUUCUCGUUAUCUCAUUUUUUUUCUAAUGAAAAAUCAGUUGUUAUUCUUUUUUUUGUUUUGUUUUUGUUGAUAAACAUCUCAUUGAUUGAAUUGGUUGUUUGGUUAGACCUUGAUUAAUGAUGACGAAUUACCUUGGAGAUGUUUUUGUUUUUUUUUUAGUUCAUUGUAUUUUGUUAUAAUUUUAAGAAAAUUUUGUAGUCGUAGUCGCUCUUGCUCAAAAAAAAAAAUUUGUUCAAAUUCCAAAGAUUCUAUAAUGCCUUAUUUGUGUAUUUUGGUGGCGGGUUGUUUACAUUAUUUUUCGUUGAUGUUGAUGGUAAAUUUUGUCUUUUUUUUUCUGAUUUGUUUAGAUUUUAUUUAUCCCAAGAACGAGUCGUUUAAUCUGAUGUACAAUUUGUUGCCCUUAUCACUGAUUGAAAAUUUAUAAAGGUAAGAAAUGGUUUGAAAAGUUGUAUUGGUGCGGUUGUGUUUUUAUUGGUGGUAGAAAAAGGAGGGAUAUUUUCAAAAUAUUUUUUUUAAUGAUUCGAUUGAGAUCGAUUCCGGACAAAUUUCGUAUUGCGUAAAUUAUUUUUGAAAAAUACGACAUGAUGAGUUUUUGAAAUUUAUUAUUUUGGUUUAAAAAAUGGGCAUGUGAAAUUUCACUUUAAAAAAAGGCAAAAUGGAUGUUUAAAAAUAAAUGAAUCCGCCAUGUUGGAAAUCCCCCUCGAAUAGGUACCUAUAUAAAAAUGAAUUGAAUUGAAUCAAGUCGUACAAAAAUGUAUUCCAUUCGUAUUUAAAUUUAAAUAAGUGUAAUAUAUGUGUAUUCACUUCGAGGCAUUAUUGCGCAAAUUUAUAAGCAUUGAAAAAGUAGCAAAUACGUAAUACGAUUCAAUUAGAUCUUGAGAAUAUAAUUUCUACAAAAAUAAAAAAAAUCACGAUAAUUUUGAGAUUCGUUUACCCUACCUAUUUUUUGUUUUACUAUUUUCUACGCGGCUUCUAUUAACACCGCUCAAACUGAUGAUACCAACUGAAAUUCAUACCUAUAUAAUACUUACUAUACUCUGAAUCAUAAUAAUGCAACACGUAUUAUGAUAUUCUGCCUGUGAUUGUACUAGAUUAAGAACCAAGCAACAAUAAUCAAAUAUAGAAUUAUUUUUCAA